ACGAACGCUGGCGGCAUGCCUAACACAUGCAAGUCGCACGAGACCUUCGGGUCUAGUGGCGCACGGGUGCGUAACGCGUGGGAACCUGCCCUUAGGUUCGGAAUAACUCCCCGAAAGGGGUGCUAAUACCGGAUAAUGUCUUCGGACCAAAGAUUUAUCGCCUUUGGAUGGGCCCGCGUUGGUUUAGCUAGUUGGUAGGGUAAAAGCCUACCAAGGCGACGAUCCAUAGCUGGUCUGAGAGGAUGAUCAGCCACACUGGGACUGAGACACGGCCCAGACUCCUACGGGAGGCAGCAGUGGGGAAUAUUGGACAAUGGGCGAAAGCCUGAUCCAGCAAUGCCGCGUGAGUGAUGAAGGCCUGAGGGUUGUAAAGCUCUUUUACCCGGGAUGAUAAUGACAGUACCGGGAGAAUAAGCUCCGGCUAACUCCGUG
rnacentral:rRNA from 1 species